ensembl:lncRNA
AGUCCUAUCAAAAUGGAUUAUGCAUGACACCAGGACAGUCUGGUUGUGUCAGCAACUGUCCGUAUGUUAAGGAAGUUGUAGUGAAUGAUGACAUUAAGAAAAAAGUGCUUGUUAACAAAGACGGCAGCCUUUCUGUGGAGAUGAAAGUUCGCUUUCGGCUGUUCAACGAUGAGACUCUUCAGUGGUCCACCGAGAUCAAGAAGUCAUCAGUGAAAGUGAACGACUCUGGCUCUGUGAAAGAUGCAGAUUAUCUUAAAGCUAAAGCUGAGUUUUCAGACCCAGACUCCAUAUCUGCAUCAGAGACUGAAGAAGCCUUUGCAACACAGCUGCAUCAGAAGCAUAUCGAGGAAACGCUUUGUCAAAACUGUUGCAAUCACUGCCAAGAGUACGACAUCUGGAAAAACCCCAUGCACAAAGAACUGGGGACCUGUAAAUCACCUAGUUCCAGUGCAUCAUCUCACAAAGUUGUACACAAAAAGUCAUUGGUGGAUAGUACACGCACAAUUUCUCGUUCCAGUGGCGAGUACACUGAGCAUGUGGUGGAAAAGGCCUCAUGCUUUCAGCAGACAAUGGAGGAAGGAGACACUAGAGUAGAAUACUGUGCAAUAAGUCACUGCUGCAAUCGAGGUGAAGUAUCAUCUGUUGGAGUCAUGUCAAAGAGCAAGAGAUCUUGUGAGGACGACUGUGAGAGUCACACUAAAACAAAAUAUUCUCAUGUGGAACCUAAAAUCUCUCCUACUCCACAUUGUGAGGUCAUUAAGGUCAUGGAAGAGCGUCCGGUGUCUGCAGUCAGCAACUCAUCCAAAGUGCUUGAGUCUUUGAGGGAAGAUCAGGAUGAUGAUUAUGACGAUCUGCCUCCAAGCAUCUCAAGAGCAUCACACUGGUCCCAAAGUGACCAUCUUGAGAGUGAUGCUCAACCCAAAUGUGUUCAUUGUUGUGGCUACAAGUCUUCACCAACAUCUUAUUUGUCCCCCAGACCUCCAAGUAAAGAAUCAAGCAGUGCUGUUCACUCACUUAAGCUCAAAAAGUAUAAAACCACUUUUGCAACAACAGCAGAGCCAGAUGGGAUGAGUAUGACAUCUCUGAUUUCAAAAGUGUCCUCCAGAUCACAUCCUUGUCAGUGUGGUACCAUAACCCCAAGUUUAGUUGCAUCUGGUAGGCAGCAUGGGCCUGAGGGAGGGGCUUGUAAUACAAAUUCCAGACAUAGCCAAGCGCCUUGUAAAUCUAGAGUCCAAGCAAACAGCCCUGGAUCCAAUGCAUUAGAUGCUCUGAAGAUAUGUGACAAAGAUGCUGGAAACAUAUCUUUAAGUGCCACAUCAGGUGUGAAGAAACGAUCUGGUGAGUCUGGUGUAUGUUCAUGCUGUGGUGAGCAUAAAAGAUUGAAUGGGAAUCCAGAGGGGAGCGAAGCAGAGAAAGCUGAUUCCAUAGUGUCAAAGUCAAACAAAUCUACUGCAUCCACUUCAAAUGCUCAUGAAAACUGUGAACUAGUUAAUAAUAUGUCAGAAGUGGAAGCCACUCGGGAGCACUCUCAGUCUGCACUGUCUAAAAAUUCAAAUGCCUCUUCUACUUCAAAAAUCUCAAAAAAAUCCACCUGCUCUGCACAUGAAAUGCGUUCUGUUGGGAAAUCAUCCAAAUCUGAACAUAAUGAAGCAGAAAAUGUUGAAGAAAGAGCCAAAAGUGCCACACCAGUAAGGUCAGUCGGGUCAGACUGCAUUGUU